rnacentral:lncRNA from 1 species
AUAUGUAUUCAUUUCCUACCACUGUAGUGGAAGAGAGACUAUCCCUGUCUUUACACCCGGUAGCAUUUCCAACAGUAAGCUGUGAGAUUCUGCUUGAAAUCACCUCUCAAACAAAUAAAAAACAGACCUGGGAAAUGUGCUACACUCAUUCUGCUGAAGAAAUUGGGCAAGAAUGUUUUCUAAGACCGCGAACUCCAGAUUUGCGAUGUGGCAAAUCCUGAAGCGUACAUGGAUAUCUCUCACAGCUAAAGUAUCCCUCACCCCUACCCAGUGCUUCUUACCCCUGGCGCGAGAGAAUCACCUGCGGGGAGGAAAACUUUCAAAAUCCCUUAAACCCAAGUUGUAACCGAUCAAUUAAAUCAGAAUCCUUGCAGUUGGAUCUGAAAAAAAUACGGUUUAAAGUUGUGCAGGUGAUUACAAUGUGUAGGCACGCCACAAAACCAUGGGUUUAACCAGCAACCUUUGUUAGAAAUGAUUUCUCAAAUGAAUGUAAAAACGUUUGCUGCUGAAUUGUGACCUUUCCAUUUUACUUGCUUUUCCUACAA